rnacentral:pre_miRNA from 1 species
UCUUAUGGAUGUGCAAAAAAAAGUGGUUUUUUGAGAUGGAAUCUUCUCCUAGUGAAGAUGCUAUGAA